rnacentral:rRNA from 1 species
AUUGAACGCUGGCGGCAUGCCUUACACAUGCAAGUCGAACGGCAGCGCGGGAGCAAUCCUGGCGGCGAGUGGCGCACGGGUGAGUAAUACAUCGGAACGUGCCCAAUCGUGGGGGAUAACGCAGCGAAAGCUGUGCUAAUACCGCAUACGAUCUACGGCUGAAAGCUGGGGAUCGCAAGACCUUGCGCGCAUGGAGCGGCCGAUGGCAGAUUAGGUAGUUGGUGGGGUAAAGGCUUACCAAGCCUUCGAUCUGUAGCUGGUCUGAGAGGGCGACCGGCCACCUGGGAACUGAGACACGGCCCAGACUCCUACGGGAGGCAGCAGUGGGGAAUUUUGGACAAUGGGCGAAAGCCUGAUCCAGCCAUGCCGCGUGCAGGAUGAAGGCCUUCGGGUUGUAAACUGCUUUUGUGCGGAACGAAACGGUCUUUUCUAAUAAAGAAGGCGAAUGACGGUACCGUAAGAAUAAGCACCGGCUAACUACGUG